AUUGAACGCUGGCGGCAUGCCUUACACAUGCAAGUCGAACGGCAGCACGGGAGCUUGCUCCUGGUGGCGAGUGGCGAACGGGUGAGUAAUACAUCGGAACGUACCCUGAAGUGGGGGAUAACGUAGCGAAAGUUACGCUAAUACCGCAUAUUCUGUGAGCAGGAAAGAGGGGGAUCGCAAGACCUCUUGCUUUAGGAGCGGCCGAUGUCGGAUUGGCUAGUUGGUGAGGUAAAGGCUCACCAAGGCGACGAUCCGUAGCGGGUCUGAGAGGAUGAUCCGCCACACUGGGACUGAGACACGGCCCAGACUCCUACGGGAGGCAGCAGUGGGGAAUUUUGGACAAUGGGCGCAAGCCUGAUCCAGCCAUGCCGCGUGAGUGAAGAAGGCCUUCGGGUUGUAAAGCUCUUCGGUGGGGUAAGAAAGUUGCUUCGGUUAAUACCUGGAGUAGAUGACGGUACCGCAUAAGAAGCACCGGCUAACUACGU
rnacentral:rRNA from 1 species